rnacentral:lncRNA from 1 species
AACCAGAUGACCAUGGAAUGCGGCUGUCUUUUCUUUGGAAAAGAGGGAGUGUCUGAUGAAGCACUAAGGAGAGCUUCUGUAAGGGAAAGGCCCCUCAGGACAGUCAGGGGCAGAGGCUCUGUUACAAGGUCCUGCUCCCGGAGCCACAGCUAUGCAGUUGGAGGCAUCACGCUCAUAUAGUUCCCUGAAGAUCAAAGAAUAAAUGGAAAGGUGGAAUGUGUGCGGUCAUACUGAACACAUGUGCAAAGCCACAAAAACAAGGAUGUCCAGUGAGGGACCAACACAUUGGCCGGGAACAACUCAGACACCCAGCAGUCUGGAGCAGGUUGGACUGGUCCGGCCAUUCUAUGCAGUACUGAGCUACCCCAAAGCGGGUGCAUCCACGAAGACACACCGGAUUCAGUUGUUAGGUUAAAUGAGAUGCACGUGUCCGGAAGGAACCCAGGAAACUCUUGGUCAUUCCCUCUGGAGUACCAGGGUAAAACACAUGUGCAA